CGAAAGGCUGGCAACGCUUAUUUUUUUAGAUUAUUGUUGCCACAUUUGCGGGUUGCUUGGCUCAUUUGCUGGCCGGAAAGCGAAUUGAAAGCAUCUUUCAGCCAAAUCAACAACAGCAAACCGUAAGCAAACAAAUAAACUCAUUACAAAGUAUAUCCACUGGCGAUUCGAUGAUUUUAAAAUUCAGCACAGCAAAAGGCAACUUUUAACUGCAGCUUAGCAGUAGCUGAAGUAGCAGCAGCAGCAGCGGCUACGCUUAAUUAAAUGCCCAACAAGCAGCAAAUUAAAUAAAUACGCACUGCACACUGCGCCAACUCUGGGUAAAUAGCGGCUGCUCUGGCAGCUCAGAGCCAACCUUUGUUCUUCAUUGACAAUGCAGCGGGACUAAUCAGUUGAGAAAAUGGCGAGAUGCUGCGGCAGCAGCCAACAAAAGGCCAAGCGGACCCUUUGGGCCAUUAAUUAGCUGGCACAAACAAAAGAAAAACUUGCCGAGCAUAGCUCAAAACGAACGUUAAGCGAAAAUGAAACCCAAACAACGUGAGGUCAACUCUGCCAAUACAAUGUAUAAAUAAUUGUUGCCCAACUCCCACUCUCCAUCUCGACAAAGUACAUCACAUAUCAACGCCUUUUUCAUACCCUGCAGACUUUUCGUUAGGGCAUCAAUCAAGCAUAAACUGCUCCCACUUUAUGGCCCGCCAAUUAAUCGCAAUCGUAUUAAGAUUGAUCAUCAGCAGCAUCCGUGAGUGACACGCAACAGCCUAAGGUUCUUAAACGCGCUGACAAGACGCAUAUUACGUUAAGCACCGGCAAAAGAGUUAACCGCAGGCAUGCAGAAUGCGCUUUAUGCAUUAAUAUGAAUGCUUAAAGUACUUCAUUAAAAUAGGUUAAAUUAUGACCCCAAAGGCUGUGCGACAUUCAGAUAUUUAAAUAUAUA